UCCGUGUUAACCACGGCAGUCCCGCUAGAGUCCCCGGCAUGACCCGCUGGCAACUAGCGGCAAGGGUUUCGCUCGUUAAGGGACUUAACCCGACAUCUCACGACACGAGCUGACGACAGCCAUGCAGCACCUGUGCUAGUUCCUGCCUUACGGCCGUCACUCUGCUUUCACAGAGCUAAUCCUAGCAUGUCAAACCCAGGUAAGGUUCUGCGCGUUGCUUCGAAUUGAACCACAUGCUCCACCGCUUGUGUGAGCCCCCGUCAAUUCCUUUGAGUUUUAGCCUUGCGACCAUACUCCCCAGGCGGGGCACUUAACACAUUUGCUCCGGCAGGGAAGGCAUCGGAACCUCCCCUACUUAGUGCCCAUCGUUUAGGGCUAGGACUAC
rnacentral:misc_RNA from 1 species